CGGAUCGCGCCUGCGCGGUGGGGAGCUGCUCGCGGCUCCCGCUCGGCCUUGGGCUGGCUGCAGUCUCAGUUUGAGGGCGGCCGAAGUGGCUGGCUCGAUUAAGAUGAGGUUUCUGCUAGUUCUCCUGGUGGCGGCGUCGGCGGUGAUCCGGAGCGAUGCCUCGGCCAACCUGGGCGGCGUGCCUAGCAAAAGAUUAAAGAUGCAGUACGCCACGGGGCCGCUGCUCAAGUUCCAGAUUUGUGUUUCCUGAGGUUAUAGGCGGGUGUUUGAGGAGUACAUGCGGGUUAUAAGCCAGCGGUACCCAGACAUCCGCAUUGAAGGAGAAAAUUACCUCCCUCAACCCAUAUAUAGACACAUAGCAUCUUUCCUGUCAGUCUUCAAACUAGUAUUAAUAGGCUUAAUAAUUGUUGGCAAGGAUCCUUUUGCUUUCUUUGGCAUGCAAGCUCCUAGCAUCUGGCAGUGGGGCCAAGAAAAUAAGGUCUAUGCAUGUAUGAUGGUUUUCUUCUUGAGCAACAUGAUUGAGAACCAGUGUAUGUCAACAGGUGCAUUUGAGAUAACUUUGAAUGAUGUGCCUGUGUGGUCCAAGCUGGAAUCUGGUCACCUCCCAUCCAUGCAACAGCUUGUUCAAAUUCUUGACAAUGAAAUGAAGCUCAAUGUGCAUAUGGAUUCAAUCCCACAUCACCGAUCAUAGCCCAACCUAUCAGCACUGAAAACUCUUUUCUAGGAUGCACCGGAAUUUUCCAAAUCACCCAAACCAAUAAAAAGGCCAGGGAGUGCAGGAGACACCAGGAGGAAAGGCAAGUUUGCAUGACAAAUUCUUACCCUCACAUAAACAGAUGCAAGCCACAGAUUGAUUCAGCCUGUUUCCCCACCUUCCCUAAAAGUGGAUUUAUGAAUUGCGGUUUUUCUGACCACUUACCCUCUUCACUGCUUAUGUGAUAAUUGCAAAGCAUAUGGAGAGAUUUCCAUUUACGUGUCCUAGGCAAGGAGGUUACCUCCUGCAUAAGAUGAGUUUAAAAACACCACGCCUGCCUCUGAGCUGGAGUUUGGAUCGUAUGUUCUCUUCAAGUUCUUGGAUUUUUAAUUCACCAAAGAUUCUGCAUUCCACGAGAAUUCUCCAUUCUCAGUGCUUCUGCUGAGGAACAGGUCUGCCUGGGACCGGGGCUUGAUGUGACCCAUUGCAAAACAAUUUUGUUGACCUCUUUUAGUUUAAAAUCCAUGUGAAAGAUUUUGUUUCACUCCAAGUUGUUGAUGUUCGUUUUAACAAGAAUAUUUAUUUUUAACUUCCUAAAGCUUCAAGCAAAAUUCAUCCCCUUAAAAAAUUGUGUUUCUCCUGAGGCUGUGUGUAACUCCUCCAUGGCAUCUUAUUUCUCUUGGGGGAGCGUGCGUGUGUGUACACAUCAUCCUAAGAAACAGAGUGAGCUACGUUAGAGGCUCGUUUCCUUUAAACUUCUAUAAACUUUCUGUCCAGUCUGUAGUAAAGCGCCAUGCUUAAGAAUUACUAUAGUGACUGAAGGAGUAGGUUCCAGGAAAUUUGUACCCAGAAGACGCAUGUGGAAAGAUCCUGAGAAGCACAACUCCAAGUUAUAAAAUGUUGAAGAGUGUUACGAUACCAAAAAGCUAAGUAAAUACCGUACAGAGUAACGUAAUGACAAACAUGCUGGAACAAAAGCCUCUGAAAGCCUUGAGGGAGGCAAAAAUGGUAGCCCAGUAAGUGCUGCCUGUGAAUGAGUAGGUGGAUGAAUGAAUGGGUUUUGUUAAGGCAGUGGCUCUCGACUGUGGGGGUUUUAUUCUCUAGGGGACGUUGGUGAGAUACUUUUGAUGACACGACUGGGAGGCAGGGUGUGUUGCUCCCAGCAGCCGUGAGCAGAGCCAGAGAUGCCGCAGAUUAACCCACAGUGUCCAAGGCAAGCUUCCACCACAACAGAGAAUCUGGUCCAAAAUGUCAGUAGGGCCGGUGUUGAGAACUCUGGGUUACAGUUAGAGUGGGACAAGGGUGCUGGGAAAUGCGAAGAAGAAGACUGAGCAACAGACUAGUCAGGAGACACACUCGGGGACAUCUGCUCAUGCAGAGUGACUCAGAAUGGAGCCUCACAACCACAGCCUCCAGCUGGGACCUGGGAGGGGAAGUGCCUUAGCUCAGCCAGCCCCUUGGGGUGGGGGAGGACAGCCCUUUUCUAACUGAGCCUGAAAGGGAUUUGCUGUCAGCGAGGCCUGGUGUGCUCUCAGAGCAUCCCCUUUGCCUCUUUGAGAUGUUUUCUGUGUUUACAUUUAAAAUUACCUUCACAGAGGAAGCCUUUCAUUCCAAUAAUGAAAUAAAGGCUAAAUUGGAGGUGACAAACAUUUUCAUGGGAAAGACUGUCAAAUGUAACAAGCCAACGAAUAAAUUGCCCUUAUUAAAUCCUUUUUCUUUUUGAAUAGGAAAAAAUGUCACAGAACUUUGCUUACUGUUGGUAGUGGCCCACCCCGGAGGACAGAAGUGGGUACAGAAAGGCUUCAGUGUUUCCCACGGAAGUUCCUGUUUCCUUGGAAUGUGUGCUAAAGCGAAGCUUUGAAAUACAUAACCUAAGGAGGUGGGGGGGUGGGGGUGCCCGUGGGCGGGGAGAUUGAUUUUGGGGAGGUUUCCCCCUCCUCCUCCCUGAAGUAUUUGCAUUAAUUAGUUGGAUGGUAAGAAGUGAUAACAUUCCAUACCACUGGAGUCCAGAAAUGUUUUCCAAUAAUUACAAUGUAUUUUAAUCAUCUGGGCCUCUACCUUUCCUUAGGCUGACUGAGGCGGGGGAAGUAGCUUUAGAGUCUGCACUGAGAGCCAAGCAAAUCCGCACUUUCGGUUUUAGAGUAAUUUCAUCACCUUCAAGAGAACCUCCAAUACGAUUAUAAUUAGAACUGGCUGGAGCAGACAUCCUUGAAUAUUCCUGAUUUUGGUGGAAAGCAUCUAGUCUUUCACCUUUAAGUCUGAUACUAGCUGUGAAGUACCUAGAGAUGUCCUCUAUCAAGGUGAGGAAGUGCCCGUUUUUUCUGCGGUUAUUAAAAUGAUAUUUUCUCUUUAUUCUAUGUUAUUGUCUGUUACAUUAAUUGAUUUUCAGAUGUUAAGCCAACCUUAUAUUCUUCGAAUAAAUUUCACUUGGUCACGAUGUAUAAUCUUUUUUAUAUGUUGCUGGAUUCGGUUUGCUAGCAUUGGUUGAGAAUUUUUACAUCCGUAUUUCCAAGCCACAUAGAUCUUUAGUUUCUUUUCUUGUGCAAUUUUUGUCCAAUUGGCUAUCAGGGUAAUACUGGCCUCAUAAAAUGGGUUAGGAAGUGUCUGUUCCUCUUCUGUUUUUUGGAACAACUUGUGAAGAAUUCGUAUUCUUCUCUGCAUGUUUGGUAAAAAUUUACCAUUGCUGCUCUUUUCUUUGGGCCUGAGCUUUGUAGAAAGUUAAAAAUUACUGAUUUGAUCUCUUUACUUAUUAUAAACCAAGUCCCAUUUUCCAUUUCCUUUUUUGAAUUUUUUUAAUGUUUAUUUAUUUUUGAGAGACAGAGAGAGACAGAGUGCAAUUGGGGGAGGUGCAGAGAGAGAGGGAGACAGAAUCCAAAGCAGGCUCCAGGCUCCAUACUGUCAGCACAGAGCCUGAUGUGGGACUCAAACUCUUGAAUUGCAAGAUCAUGACCUGAGCCGAAGUCAGACGCUUAACUGACUGAACCACCCAGGCGCGCCUCUUUUAUGUCAGUUUCAGCAUUUUGUGUAUUCCUGGCAAUUUCUCCAUUUCAUUUAAACUACCUGAUGUUAGUAUACAGUUGUUCGUAGUUUUCCCUUAUAAUCCUUUUUAUUUCUGUAAGUUUGGUAAAUGUCCUCUCUUCCUGUUUGAAGUAAUUUGAGCCUUCUCUCUUUUCCCUUGGCUAGUCUAGCUAAAGUUUUGUCAAUUUUGUCUGUCUUUUCAAAGAACCAAAUUUUGGUUUCAUUGAUUUUUUUUUUCUACUGCUUUUCUACCUUGUGGAAACCAGUAAUAAAGAGAAAAGUCUUUAAAACAGCCAGUGGAAAACAAGACACAUUGAUUACAGAGGAAGAGGUAGCCUUGCAAUAUAGGAGAUAAUAUAAUAGCACUACACUUAAAAUGGAUGCAUUGAUUCUUUUUAAAAGUUGAUUAAACAAACAAAAAAAUCACAUUUUCUUUGAGUCUGAGGUUGUCAGUUUGAUGUCUGCAUGAGACCGUAUGCUUUACCAGGAAAAACGCUUCUUCCGUCCCUGAAUUCCUAGACAACCACUGUGUCCCUGAGUUCUUCAUAGUAGAGGUGGUGAUUUUUCUUU